UGACCGAUUUCUCUUGGUGUUCAGAGUCUCAGUUUUUGUCUAGCACCAUUUGAAAUCGGUUAUGAUGUAGG
ensembl:miRNA microRNA 29c